AUUGGACGCUGGCGGCAGGCCUAACACAUGCAAGUCGAACGGUAACAGGAAACAGCUUGCUGUUUCGCUGACGAGUGGCGGACGGGUGAGUAAUGUCUGGGAAACUGCCUGAUGGAGGGGGAUAACUACUGGAAACGGUAGCUAAUACCGCAUAACGUCGCAAGACCAAAGAGGGGGACCUUCGGGCCUCUUGCCAUCGGAUGUGCCCAGAUGGGAUUAGCUAGUAGGUGGGGUAACGGCUCACUUAGGCGACGAUCCCUAGCUGGUCUGAGAGGAUGACCAGCCACACUGGAACUGAGACACGGUCCAGACUCCUACGGGAGGCAGCAGUGGGGAAUAUUGCACAAUGGGCGCAAGCCUGAUGCAGCCAUGCCGCGUGUAUGAAGAAGGCCUUCGGGUUGUAAAGUACUUUCAGCGGGGAUGAAGGGAGUAAAGUUAAUACCUUUGCUCAUUGACGUUACCCGCAGAAGAAGCACCGGCUAACUCCGUG
rnacentral:rRNA from 1 species